rnacentral:rRNA from 1 species
AGCGAACGCUGGCGGCAGGCUUAACACAUGCAAGCCGAACGCAUCCUUCGGGGUGAGUGGCAGACGGGUGAGUAACGCGUGGGAACAUGCCCUUUGGUUCGGAAUAACUCAGGGAAACUUGAGCUAAUACCGGAUAAGCCCUUUUGGGGAAAGAUUUAUCGCCGAAGGAUUGGCCCGCGUCCGAUUAGCUAGUUGGUGAGGUAAUGGCUCACCAAGGCGACGAUCGGUAGCUGGUCUGAGAGGAUGAUCAGCCACACUGGGACUGGGACACGGCCCAGACUCCUACGGGAGGCAGCAGUGGGGAAUAUUGGACAAUGGGGGCAACCCUGAUCCAGCCAUGCCGCGUGAGUGAUGAAGGCCCUAGGGUUGUAAAGCUCUUUCGGCGGGGACGAUAAUGACGGUACCCGCAGAAGAAGCCCCGGCUAACUUCGUGCCAGCAGCCGCGGUAA